rnacentral:tRNA from 1 species
AAAAUCCGUCGACUUUAGAAAUCGUGAGGGUUCAAGUCCUCUUAUGUUAACAUGGCUCUAUCCCCA